AACGAACGCUGGCGGCAUGCCUAACACAUGCAAGUCGAACGAGACCUUCGGGUCUAGUGGCGCACGGGUGCGUAACGCGUGGGAAUCUACCCUUGGGUUCGGAAUAACAGUUAGAAAUGACUGCUAAUACCGGAUGAUGACGUAAGUCCAAAGAUUUAUCGCCCAAGAAUGAGCCCGCGUAGGAUUAGGUAGUUGGCGGGGUAAUGGCCCACCAAGCCGACGAUCCUUAGCUGGUCUGAGAGGAUGAUCAGCCACACUGGGACUGAGACACGGCCCAGACUCCUACGGGAGGCAGCAGUGGGGAAUAUUGGACAAUGGGCGAAAGUCUGAUCCAGCAAUGCCGCGUGAGUGAUGAAGGCCUUAGGGUUGUAAAGCUCUUUUACCAGGGAUGAUAAUGACAGUACCUGGAGAAUAAGCUCCGGCUAACUCCGUGCCAGCCGCCGCCGUAA
rnacentral:rRNA from 1 species